rnacentral:tRNA from 1 species
GCCUUCGAGGUGUAACGAUCAGCAUACUGGGCUCUUAUUCAAGAGGUCCGAGGUUCGAGUCCCGGCGAGGACA